GGAUGUGAGCAUGAUCUGGCCGUGACAUCUGUCACCAUGUUGAUUGCUGCGGUUUAUUUGGCUCAUCUACCUGUCUAGUUGGGUGACCCCUUCCUCUAUCAUUGCUUCAUGUGUGUCCUUCCCAAAGCUGCGUGUUCAAAGAAACAACCUUCCCCAAUAAAAGAGGACCUUUCUUCAGUAAAGGGUACACAAAUAGCUGCACUUCCCUGCUAGAACCUUCAAACGAGCUCCCAAGUGCACAUAGAGCAUUCUCUAGGAUAAAAUAGCUUUACUCCAGGCCAUAAAACAAACUUCAAUAAGUGUCAAAAGAU
ensembl:misc_RNA 7SK 7SK RNA